AGCUCCAAUAGCGUAUAUUAAAGUUGUUGUGGUUAAAAAGCUCGUCGUUGGAUCUCAACGGCCUUGGAGCGGUUAUCAUGCUUGAUAGACUGCUCUGUAGGCCGUGCUUUUGCUGGAGGUUUAGGGGUGCUCUUAAUCGAGUGUCUCUGGAUGCCAGCAGGUUUACUUUGAAAAAAUUAGAGUGCUCAAAGCAGGCUGUAAUGCUUGAACGAUUGUGCAUGGGAUAAUGGAACAGGGCGUCUCCGCCCUUUCAUUGGGUUAAGUGGAGACGUAAUGAUAGAUAGGAACGGACGGCGUGAUUCGUACGAGAGGGUGAAAGGUGAAAUUUUUAGAUACUUCUCAGACGGACGGAUGCGAAGGCGUUUCACGAGAACGUUU
rnacentral:rRNA from 1 species